GCCCCAGUGGCCUAAGAUUAAGGCACUGGCCUUCCUAAGCCAGGGAUUGUGGGUUCGAGUCCCGUCUGGGUG
rnacentral:tRNA from 1 species